CCUACGGGAGGCAGCAGUGGGGAAUUUUCCGCAAUGGGCGAAAGCCUGACGGAGCAACGCCGCGUGAGGGAUGAAGGCCUCUGGGCUGUAAACCCUCUUUUAUCAAGGAAGAAGAUCUGACGGUACUUGAUGAAUAAGCCACGGCUAAUUCCGUGCCAGCAGCCGCGGUAAUACGGGAGUGGCAAGCGUUAUCCGGAAUUAUUGGGCGUAAAGCGUCCGCAGGCGGUCUUGUAAGUCUGUCGUUAAAGCGUGGAGCUUAACUCCAUUUCGGCGGUGGAAACUACAAGACUAGAGUGUGGUAGGGGUCAGAGGGAAUUCCCGGUGUAGCGGUGAAAUGCGUAGAUAUCGGGAAGAACACCAGUGGCGAAGGCGCUCUGCUGGGCCAUAACUGACGCUCAUGGACGAAAGCUAGGGGUAGCGAAAGGGGAUUAGGAUACCCCGUGUAGUCCUAGCCGUAAACGAUGACACUAGGUGUCGGGGGUAAUCGACCCCCGUCGGUGUCGUAGCUAACGCGUUAACGUGUUCCGCCUGGGGAGUACGGCACGCAAGUGUGAAACCUCAAGGAAUUGACGGCUG
rnacentral:rRNA from 1 species